rnacentral:rRNA from 1 species
UACGUAGGGUGCAAGCGUUAAUCGGAAUUACUGGGCGUAAAGCGUGCGCAGGCGGUUUUGUAAGUCUGACGUGAAAUCCCCGGGCUUAACCUGGGAAUUGCGUUGGAGACUGCAAGGCUGGAGUCUGGCAGAGGGGGGGUAGAAUUCCACGUGUAGCAGUGAAAUGCGUAGAGAUGUGGAGGAACACCGAUGGCGAAGGCAGCCCCCCUGGGGCCAAGCA